rnacentral:rRNA from 1 species
UACGUAGGGUGCAAGCGUUGUCCGGAAUUAUUGGGCGUAAAGAGCUCGUAGGCGGUUUGUCGCGUCGAAUGUGAAAACCCGGGGCUCAACUCCGGGCCUGCAUUCGAUACGGGCAGACUAGAGUUCGGUAGGGGAGACUGGAAUUCCUGGUGUAGCGGUGAAAUGCGUAGAUAUCAGGAGGAAUACCGAUGGCGAAGGCAGGUCUCUGGGCUGACACUGACGCUCAUGCACGAAAGCGUGGGGAGCAAACAGG